rnacentral:lncRNA from 1 species
GGACAUUGAGCUAGCCAUAUCGAUUAAUCACAAGAAAAACAAACUUGUAAGGAAAAUGCUUGCUUGGAGUAGUAGUACUAUUGCUGAUUGUCGUGGUUAGGGCUUGAGGGUAGGAGGGUUUUUAUAGCCAAAAGUAGUAGCGGGUGAUGUCUGAAUUUUACUUUCCUAGCUAUUAGGUAAGUUGAGAUUAUCCGAUCCAAACAUUAACACACCACAUUAAAAGUUGAGACCAUUCAAUUAGGUUCAACUGCCAACCUACGUGAUUAUUGUUUUCUUUCAAUACAAUUAAAACCAGCGUCCAUUUGAUUUCACUCAAUCAUGCCUCCACAGCUAGGACUCAAAUAUUGGUUUAACUUUUUUCUAGGUGUUUUCUUAUAAACAUGAGAUUUACAUUUGAUGUAUUUAUAAAUGCAUUUAUUGUCAGAAUGAUACCAUUUUAUUAAAAGUAAUUUGAUUUAUAAUUGUUUGUAUAUAUACUUUUAUAUAUUAAGUCUUUAAUUGAAUUGGUAUUACGAUUCACCCAAGCAUCUAUUUAAUUGAAAAUUUGUUAAAAUAUUCAUAUAACAAAUAUUAAUAUUAAUAUAAAUGUAUUUUUAUUUUUAUUAUAAAUAAAACUAUAAUAAGAUUUAAACUUAUGACUCAUAAAUUUUACUCUUUUUAACUUAACUAUUUCAACUAAAAUUUCAUUUAGUUUUAAUAUAAAUUUUUAUAAAUAUAUUAUUUACAUGAAUUUUCCUUUUCCAGGCGGUAUGCCAUGGAACUAAUAUAAAAUAUAAACAAAUGGUUAUUUUGUUAUUUUCAAUGGAAAAAAAAAACUUCACAAGAUUAGGACACAUGCAUGGUUUUUUUAAUAUAUAUAUAUAUAUAUCAUGCAACAUUCUAAAUCUAUUUAUAGAUUAUUUUGUUGAUUGAAUUUUUAUUUUUUUUUAUUUUGGUAAUUAUAUAAAACUAAAUAUUUUCUUCGCGCAAUGUUAAGAGCAGUUUGAAAUUUAAAAGAAGUGUGGAUUCUAAUAAUAAAUUUAGUUAUCUAAUGUUUACAUAUUUUAUUAAUUUGGUCUUAAAUAUAAAAAUUAAAUUCAACAAAAUUAGCCCUCAAUGUUUACAAAAUUUUUCAUUUUAAUUCAAAUUCUAAAAUAAUCCAAUAAAUUUAGCUCUCAACAUUUACAAAAUGAAAGGAUUUGAUUUUUAAAAUUUUAAUUUUUUUUUUUAAAAACCCAAAACACAAACCUAAAUAAACUGAAAAAGAAGAAGGAAUAAUUAUCAUCACCACGAUCUAAUCUCUCAACUUUAAAAUAAGACUUCAACUUCGGUUUAACCCCAAGACAAGGCGAAACAUUGAAAGUAAGUGCAGCGGAUGCCAUUGAUUCUCCUACCUUUUGGCUAAACACAUAAAUUUGAACAACUUCAUACAUAACUAGCAGCAGUACUAAAAAAUCAUUAAUACUAUAUUUUCAAGUACAAGAAAUUGAAAAAAGAAUCACGGGUAGAGUACAAAAAUGAAAUUUGGUGUGAACCUAGAUUAACAAAACAAGGUUCACGGUUUCUCAAAAACACAAUACUAAAUUUUUAGAAUUUCUUGUGAAGAUCAAGCAAUGAGACAAAUACUGAAAUUGGCAAUGCCUUAAUAGCAAAUAAUAAUUCAAACCAAUGUAGAAAAAAGAUGAAGAAGAAGAAGAUAGGAAAAGAAUUUUUAGUUUACAUUAAAAGCCUUGAAAAGGUAGACCGAUAGGAUUGAUUGUUUUGAAUAUUACUCAACUUUCUCAUUAAUUCUUGUACUAUUAUGGCUAAGUGUGUUUUUAGAUGGUAAUGAAUUUUUUUAAUUGUUAAUAAUUUUUACAAUUAUUACACUUGAUUUGGCAGUUGUUUUUCUUUUUAAUUUACAAAAUUUUAAAAAAUUAAAAAUUUCUAUUUUGUAAAUGCUAAGAGCUAAAUUUAUUAUUAUUUAUUUUAGAAUCUAAACUAAAGUGACAAAUUUUGUAAAUAUUUGGUGUUAAAUUUAUUGGAUUUUUAUAUUUAAAAUCAAAUUGAUAGAAUGUGUAAAGAAAGUUAAUUUUUUUAUUAGACAAAUAAAAAAUAACCCAUUUCAACACUUCCGAAAAAUUUUCAAACGGCCGUUAACAUUUAGUGAUGAAAAUAUUUGAUUUCAUAUAGUUUAAUAAUUAAAAUAAAAAUAAUUAAAAAUUUAGUAAUCAAAGUAAAACACAAGUGAUAUUAUUCUAGUGAUCAUUUCUGUACUUGACCCUAAUUUUUUUUUCAAAACACUGUUAAAAAACGAUUAAUUUCUCGUUUUGGCCGGAGUUAAAAUUUUUAAUAUAUUUGUUUUUAUUAAAUUUAAAAAUUAUAAUUUUACAUAAUAUAUUUUUGAUAGAAUACAUAUGAUAUAAUUUUAAUCAGUGACACCUGUUAAAGCUUGUUAGAUCUCCUGUAUCUCUUUCAAUCUGGUGGUAAAUGAAGCAAUCAAUGAGUAUUACAACCAGCCACAUGUCAUUCAAUUCACAUUAUAUCAAUCUUUUCCCUUUUCUCUCAUUUUGGUAGUUAAUUCCUUUUUUUGUCAUCGAAAUUAUAUUUUUUUCUCAAAUUGAUAAUUUCCUUAAUCCGUUAAGUUUGUUAAAAGAAACCUUAAUCUUAUUUAAAUUAUAUCUUUUUUUUUUUAUUUUGAUACUUAAACAUUUUUGUCACAUGUGGUAUGUAAUUUAUUUUUUCUUAAGUUGUUAGUUUAAUUAUUACUCAAAUAGUUAAGUCUAUUUAAAAAAAGAUAACUAUUUAAAAAUUACCAUAUUCGAACUAGCUAGGCCAUUAGUUCCUGGUUUAAUCAGUUUAUCUAGUUUGAUGAAAUCAAUUAUUAAAAAUUCAUAAAAAUAAAAAUGUUAAAAAAUAGAGAAAACUAGCUCAACUAGUUUUUUUUUUAAGCUCGACUCAAUCAAUCUGUAUCAGUUUGUAGGUUAAUCGGUUCAAGCCCUAUCUCCAAACUAGUAUCCCAGUUGGUUCCUAGUAUUAAGGGUGAGCAAAAUUUGAAUCGACUCGAAAAAAUUUAAAAAAGUUCAAAUUUUGAAUUAUUUGAAUCGAGUUAAUCGAAUCAACUCGAUUUUUUUUUAAUUUCAAGUUCGAGUCGAGUUGAGUUUUUGAAUUCAAAUGACUCGAAUAAUUCGAUUAAGCCGAAUACCAAACUAUAAUAUUUUACAUUUUACCUCAAACCCCAAACCCUUUUACUUUUCCCCCAAAACUUUACUCAUUCCUCCUUGUCUGCCCCUGUAACGCCCCAAAUUUUGAAUUGUUACUGUUAGUUUCUAUUUAUAAGUAAGUAUUUGCUUCAGUGGUUAAGUGUUAUGUGUUGGUGUUUGGAUCGGGGGUUCAAGUUACACUUUUAGAGAAUUUUAUUAUUCUUUUGUUUCAACUCUUAUCCUUGAAUGCUUGAAUUAAGUUUGUAUCUGCAUUAAUUUGUGUCAAGAAUGAGUCUUCUAGUUUAAUGGUUAAGUUUUGUAUUACCUAUGGUCUCGUGUUCGAGUCUCUGCGUAGGCAAUAAAGAAAUAUUUUGGCAUGCUAUCGGGAAAUCAGUUUUAUUUUAAUAAUUAUUUUUAUUUAAAACUUAUUUUUAGUUUUUUUUAUUUUGGUUCUUCUCCUUCCUUACUGUUCAUUUCCUUCUUCUUUUUUCUCCUUUUGUAACACCCCUAACUCGAAUCCGUCGCUGGAACAGGGUUAGGAGUAUUAUUGAAGUUUACAAUUUAAACAGGCAGAAAAAUUAAACAUUUCAUAACAUAUAGCAUUCAUGUUAGAAACCAAUCAUAAUUAUGCAUAUUGUCCCUAAUACGAGCCCUCGAGGCCCAAAAUACACCUUAGAAAUAAUUCGGGACUAAAUUGAAAAUUCGGAGCAUUUUUUAGAAACUUAUAAAAUUUUUAAAACUACAGGGGUCACAUGGCCGUGUGGCUAGGUUGUGUGACUCAUAUGGCCAACAGACACGCCCAUGUCUUAGACCGUGCGGGUAUUCGAAAUAGGGACACACGGUCGUGUCCCAGCCAGUGUCCAUGCCCGUGUAACUCACUAACUUGGGCCACACGGUCAAGCCAUACGCCCGUGUGCCAGGCAUUGUGAGCAUACUAACUUGCAUUCUUUAAAAGAUACAGGGGACACACGGCCAUGUCACCUGACCGUGUGUGACACACGCCCGUGUCUCUGCCCGUGUGGACAAAAAUAGGCUAUUUUUCAAGUCAUAAAUAUUCAUGUAUUCUUUAAAAGAUACAGGGGACACACGCCCGUGUCUCUGCCCGUGUCUCUGCCCAAUUUGGUACCAACCUAAACACAACAAUUUGCAUAUAACCAAGUCAUAAAUAGGCAUCCAAAACCAGCCAAAAUCAAGCUUAAAACAUGUAAUAUCAUCACAUACAACCAAUAUGCCCUUAGGCACCUCAAAUGACAACUUAUAAUAUUAAUAUUCAUGUAUUCAAUAUAGCCAAAUGUAUAACUCACUUAUAUGCAUAUUUUCAUCCAAAGUUUAUUAAGCAAAUUUACAUCAUUUCUUACCAAAUUACUUACCUUCCAAAACAUAUUAUUUGGUGCUAAAAUGUAUUUAACAUACUAACAUAUUUAACUUAUAUGCCUUACAUAUCCAGACACCAAUUCAUGAUCAAUUCUUCACAUUCCAAAACACAUAUAUGAAAUGCACAUUAGGUUACCUUUUUACCACUCUUUAUUCAAUCAUGAACCAAACUACAUGUCAACCAUAAUAAGCAAAAUAUGCACAUAUCCAAAAUUCCAUAACACAAACAAAACAAAUGGCUAAUCUCAACAAAACACAUAUAAGCCAACAUUGGCCAAACUAAUCUAUACAUGCCAUUAUAACCGAAAUUAAACAACCGAAUGUACCAAAAGAGCCAAUGGAUAGUGUGAUAUAGCUCCGACAAGCUUUCAACCAGAACGAGCUUUCGAAUCACUAAAAACACAGAAAAUAACACAGAGUAAGCAUUCAAGCUUAGUAAGUUCAUAUAGCAUAUAAUUUAACUUACCAUUUAGUCACAUUUAAGGUAAGCAUACAAAACAUAUCCAAACUCAAUUAGGAUAAAAGCCUCAACACAUAUCCUCAUCAACCAUGUUAGUCAUGUAAUUCAUAUAAAUAUCAAGAAACAUGUAUGAGCUCAACAAUAAUCAAACUUGCAUGUACAUAUAAUUUCCACAUCAUGUAUUUACAUAUCAUGUACAAAUCAUUUUCAUAUAUCUCAUGUAAAUACAUGUAGUAGUUUGUAUUGAACUCAUGUAAUAUCAUAACAGAACAGUGCCCGUUGAACCAUUUAGAUUAUUGUUGGAUACGCGGAUAGUACACAUGAGGUGUACUGAACUGUAAUUCAUCAAUUCAUGUACAUGUAUGCUCAUAUGAGCUAUAAACAGUAAGCUCCUCUGAGAUGAAUAACAAUAAGCUUGUACGAGCUGAAUAUCGGUAAGCUCAUAUGAGCUGAGUAUCGGUAAGCUCAUAAGAGCUGAAAUCGAUAACCCUAAUGACAUGUUUACCAAGCCAUGACAUUCCACUAACACAUUUAACCUUUAAAAUUAUUUCAAUUUACAAGUUUAAGAAAGAACAUAAAAGAUGAUACUUGGCUUUAUUUUACUAAAUUUUGUUAUUUACUUAAUUACUUAUUUAACCUUUAAAAUCAUUUCAAUUUACAAGUUUACUAAGCCAUGACAUUCCACUAACACAUUUAAGGGUUAUUUACCAUAUAAGGACCUCUACUUUAAAUUUUUAUAGCUAUUUAAUACCUUUAGCUAUUAGAACUUUACUUUUACACUUUACGCGAUUUAGUCAUUUUUAUCAAAUUGAACAUGUAAACGGUAAAAUUUCUUAACGAAAUUUUCAUAUGGUAAUAUUAUCAUGUUUUCGACCAUAAAAUAAUAAUAAAAUAAAAUUUUUUACUUCAUAUUUGUGGUCCCAAAACUACUAUUCUGAUUUCACUGAAAAUGGGUUGUUACACCUUUCUUGCUUGAUUGCUUCCGUAAGUUUGCUAUCGUGCUUAAUUGGGCAUUCUGUGUGGUUUCUUACAUUGAUUGCAAGGAUAUUGCGUAAGUUAUGUUGUUGUUUUUUACCUAUUUUUUCUAGACUUCGUCUGUUUCGUCGAGGUUAGAUAUUACUGUUAAUGGUUGUAAAAUCUCGUUAAUAGUUCCAAUGGAUCUUCUUUUAGGAAAAGGUUUCAAAAGUAACAUUUCCCUGUGAGAUUAGGUCCGAAUUGUUGUUGCUUGCUUGUCAGUAAUUGAAAAUUUCUAUUUUGGAUAGCUGCGUCGAAGUUUUCGACGAACGUUAGUUUUGAGUGCUAAUUUUGGCAUUUUGAGUUGAUUUAGUCAUUUAAUUCGUCAAUUAAUUGUCGUUUUAGGUUUCAGAUUCUUGUGUGUUGCUUCUACAUCGAAACUACAUCAAGUGUGUAACGAAAACUCAUUUUUCUAUGAUUUACGAAUGCUAGAAAACAUGGCUGUUAAUCACACGACCGUGUGUUAGGCCAUGUAACUUACUGUUUAUGUAUUAAAGUCACCGAGCCAAGGACGUGGGCGUGUGUCCUAGUCGUGUAACUUACUAUUUGUGGAUUGGAGUCACACAGGCUAGGGACACGUUUGUGUGUCCAGACUGUGUGAAGGAAAUUUUAUGAAUUGAGUCACACAAGCGUGUGCUUGACUAUGUCAUAGACCGUGUAACUCACUUUUUUGAGCCACACGAUCGUGUGCCAGGCCGUGUGAUAGAUCGUGUGCUACACGGGCCAGCCUUCCGGGACAUGUGAAUCCACACAAGUGUGUGGGUCAAAAUUUCAAAUUUUUUAUUAGGGCCGUAAACAUCAUUCCAGUCAAACGUAGGCCUACUGUAGGGUCUGGAUGAUCUGAUUUGGGUUAUAAAACCCAUUGACUAGUUAUCUGUUUCUGUAUAAACUGUUAUUUUAUAUACAUCAUAGAAUUGUAAACUAGAGAGUAGUUGUAUUCUGUAUUAAUUGAGUAUAACCUGAAAUUUGUAACAUCGUAUGCUUAUAUCUGUAUCUGUAACAUUGCAUCUGCAUUGGGGUUGGGAUUGAAUAAGGAGGAAGUUAUGGCAGUUAAAUAAUCUGCUAAGACUGGUGGCUAAGACACGUAAAUGUAUCUAAUUUUGGUGACUUUCGCAUUCUGUCCUAGCAAUUAGUCUGCAACCUUUUGAACGUGACAUAUGGUCACUAUGUGGUGUGUAGGGACGAUACCCUUUUUGGUGUGUAGGGUUGGAUGCAGAUGGUGUGUAAUUGACAUAUUCUACUCUAUUUCCGUAUAUAAUUCUGAGAACUGUUCUAACUUUAAGAAAUUGAAGAUCUAUUUUGUUGUUUCACUUAAUAAUAAUAUAAGUUAUACGCUAUGUAUAACACCCUUUACCCGAGACCGUGGUCGGAGUCGAGCAUGAGGUGUUACUUGACUUAACUUAAAAGUUCAGGGCAUAAAAAUUUACUUUCAAAAUUAAUUUCACCAUUCACAAUAAAGUUGUCCACCUGAGCAGCAGUCACUAAAUUAAUUAUAACUCAAGCUAAGAAACUCGAAAUUUAGAUUCGUAAAUUUUCCCUGAAACUAGACUCAUAUAUCUAUUCACAAAAAUUUUUCAGAAUUUUUUAUUUGACCAAUUAGUACAGUUUAUUAGUUGAAGUCUCCCCAGUUUCACUAAUCGACUAUCCUGACCUCUCGUCACUAAAAUUCAAUUAUCUCAUUAUACAGACUUGACAUGCUGAUUCCACUUAUUUAUACUUAAAAUAUACUCAUUAAGGAAUUUAAAAAUAUAAUUUAUAACUCAUAAUUCUAUUUGUACAAUUUUUAAUGAAUUUCUAAAGUCAGAACAGGGGACUUCAGAAUCAUUCUGACUCUGUCUCACUAAAAUUAAAAUAUCUAAAAGUAUAUAACUCUUUUGCUUACUCUAUUGCUUUCAUGUGAAAGUAGACUCAUUCAGAUUUAAUUUCAUCUCUCGCUAAACAUAUAAUUCUAUUUCUACAAUUUUUGGUAAUUUUUCAAAGUUACAUCAAUGCUGCUGCCCAAAAAUAGUUCCAUUGAAAUUUUUAAAAAAAAAUUCAAUAUAACCCCUUUAUAAUUAUCUAACCUUCCCUGCAAAUUUCAAAUCACAACCAAUUUCAGUAUUUCAACUACUUCACUUAAAUACUAAUGAAGUUCAACUAAUCAACCAUUUCAAACUAAAAACAUGUAUAGUUCAAUGUUUAACACAACCAUCACAUUCAAAUUUAUUCAUUCUAUUACUUUUUACUUCAAUUCCCUAUACAUGUCAUAUAAAUCCAAAAAGUUGUUUAACAAAAUCUACAGGAGUAAAUCUGGAUAGUGUGAUUCUUGGUGUAGAUCUGAUCCUCCGAAUGUAUAAAUACGUCAAUCUACAAGAAUCAAUAAACACACAAUUAAGCGUAUAGAAAGCUUAGUAAGUUCAUAGGCACCAAACAUAAAUCUUACCAAACAUUUAUACACUUAUACAUUAUACACCAUUACUAAGUUUACCUGUCAACCACAAUCUUUGGUGAGUUCCUUGGUAUAAACUCACUACUACUUAUUCUUUUACCAUAAUUCCUUUGGGCCCAUUUGUCACUUACCAUCCUUGAUCAAAAUUAAGGAACGGUUACGGAAAAUUGAGUACUUCACUUUCACUUUGCCAUAGUAUAACUAUGGUCUUACGUAUGAUCAAACAUCACUUGUCCUUGAUAAGAUAAGUGUAGCUAGGCAACCACUUAUCACUUUGUCACUUGAUCAGAUAAGUGCAGCUAAAGCUACCAUUUAUCACUUUAUCACCACUUAUCACUUGUUCUUGAUUAGAUAAGUGUAGCUAAAGUUACCACUUAUCACUUUGUCACCACUUAUCACUUGUUCCUAAUCAGAUAAGUGUAGCUAAAACUACCACUUAUCACUUUGUCACUUGAUCAGAUAAGUGUAGCUAAGCUAUCACUUAUCACUUUGUCACUUGAUCAGAAGUACUCAAAUCCGGUGUUCUGCUCAAUUUGAUCAUUUAUUCAGUUUUCACAUUUUUAUUUUAUUCUCAUUUCAUCAAUAAAUAUAUAUAUUUCAUCAUACAUUAUAUAAUUCAUGAAAUUAACAUUUAAUCAUUAAAUUUUAGCCAUAUGAACUUACCUGGGUUGAUUUGCUGAAUUUGUAAAAGUUUAGGGACUAAUCAGCUACUUUUUUUUUCCUCGACUUGUUUCGGGUUCUCAAUAUGAUUCAAAUAUAUGAAAAACCAACUUGGAGGGACUCUUCAAUGGUGUUUUUUGCUAAAAAAUAUGAGGAAUUGCCUAGAAACACUUUUAGUUAAGAUUUUUAUUUGUUAUUUUUUACAAAAUUUCCAAUUUUGCCCUUAUUACAUCACUUUUUCAAAUUUUUCUUCUCUUAUGUCGUCUCAACUAUUCCAUAUUGGCAUAUUUAUGCCUUAAGUCCCUCCUUAUUUACCACUUAAGCUAUUUAAUCACUUUUAACAAAUUUUACAUUAUUUUCAGUUUAAUCCUUUUUAAUUAAUUAACCACCCAAACGUUAGAAUUUUCUAACGAAAAUUUAAUACCAACUCAAUGACACUCCAUAAAUGUUUCUAAAAAUAUUUAUGGCUCGAUUUAUGAGGUUGAGGUUUCAAUACCUCAUUUUCGAUUCUAAUUAUUUUAAUAUUUAUUCUUAGUACAUUAUUCACUAUUUCAAAAAUUUUCCUAACUUCGCAUUUAACUUAUACUCACUAAAUUAAUAAUAUUUUCUACUCAUUUGUCAAAUUUAAUGAUCUCGAAUUACCAUUCCGACACCACUGAAAAUUCAGGCCAUUACAACUCUCCCCCCAUUUUGGAAAUUUCAUCACCGAAAUUUCGUACCUGAAAAUAAAUUCGGAUACUGAAAUCUCAGCAAUUCCUCUGUUUCCCAGGUUGCCUCCUCAGAUCCAUGUCGAUUCCAUAACACCUUAACUAGUGGUACAUGUUUAUUCCUCAACUCUUUAACCUUCUGAGCUAAAAUUUUCACCGGUUCCUCUGAAUAAGUCAUGUCAGGUUGAAGCUCUAUUUCCGUAUGAGGAAUUACAUGUGAUGGAUCUGAUCUGUACCGUCUCAACAUAGACACAUGAAACACAUUAUGAAUCUUUUCAAGUUCCGGGGGCAAAGCUAAUCUAUAGGUUACCGGACCGAUUCUUUCAAUGAUUUCAUACGGCCCGAUAAAUCGUGGGCUGAGUUUCCCCUUUUUGCUGAACCGCAAAACUUUCUUCCACGGUGACACUUUCAAAAAUACACGAUCACCCACAUUAAACUCUAUAUCCCUUCUCUUCAAAUUUGCAUAUGAUUUUUGCCGAUCGGAGGUAGCUUUUAAACAAUCUCGAAUAAUACGAACUUUUUCUUCAGUUUCCUGAGUCAAUUCCACUCCCACUAGUUUCGAUUCACUUAAUUCAGACCAAUAUAAUGGAGUUCUACACUUUCUUCCAUACAAAGCUUCAAACGGUGCCAUUUUAAUGCUAGUUUGAUAACUAUUAUUAUAAGCAAAUUCGGCUAAAGGUAAAUACCUUUCCCAGCUACCGCCGAACUCAAGUAUACAACACCUUAACAUAUCUUCUAAAAUCUGAAUCACUCGCUCUGACUGCCCAUCUGUCUAGGGAUGAAAAGCUGUGUUGAAAUUUAAUUUGGUGCCUAAAGCUUCCUGUAAUUUACUCUAAAAUCUCGAGGUAAAUCUCGGAUCUUGAUCUGAAAUAAUAGAUGUCGGUACCCCAUGUAACCUCACUAUCUCAGACACAUAUAACUCCGCUAACUUUUCAAGCUGAUAAUCUGCUCUGACUGGAAUAAAAUGUGCUGACUUAGUUAACCGAUCAACAAUCACCCAUAUUGAAUGUUUCUUCUUCAGAGUUACUAGUAAUCCAGAUACAAAAUCCAUCGUAACAUGUUCCCAUUUCCAAUCUGGAAUCAUAAUGGGCUGUAACAACCCUGUCGGCACUUGAUGCUCAGCUUUCACCUGUUGACAGAUCAAACAUCUUGCUACAUACUCAAAGAUUUCCCGUUUCAUUCCGGGCCACCAAUACAUUUUCUUCAAAUCACAAUACAUUUUUGUACUACCCGGGUAAAUAGAACACAUACUACUGUGAGCCUCUGAUAAAAUAUCAUUUUUCAAGUUUAAAUUAUUCGGAAUACAUAUUCUAUUACGAUAAUAUAACAUACCAUUUUCAUCAAUGGAGUAUUCUGAGCUUAACUUAUCUUGAACCAUCUGUCGCUUUAUCAUCAAUUUUGGGUCAUCAUCCUAUAACUCCCGAAUCCGUUGAAAGAACACGGGUUUAGCCUUUAAUUCUGCUAGUACAGAACCAUCCUCAUUAAUAGAUAAAUGAGCAUUCAAUGCCCGUAGUGCAAAUAAUGAUGAUUUCCGACUAAGCGCAUCUGCUGCGGCAUUUGCUUUCCCUGGGUGAUAGUCAAUGACAAGAUCAUAAUCUUUCAGCAACCCCAACCAUCGUCUCUGUGUCAAAUUUAACUCUUUCUGAGUCAUUAAAUACUUCAAGCUUUUAUGAUCAGUAUACACGUAACAUUUCUCACCAUAUAAGUACUCUCCAUAUCUUCAAAGCAAACACGAUCGCUGCCAAUUCCAAAUCAUGUGUAGGAUAAUUCUUGUCGUGCGGUUUCAGUUGCCAAGAAGCAUAUGCCACCACUUUGCCUGACUGAAUAAGUACACAGCCCAACCCAUUUACAGAUGCAUCACUAUAUACUACAAACGGUACACCCGAUUCUGGUUGAGUCAACACUGGAGCCUCUGUCAACAUCUUUUUCAACUGAUCGAAACUCCGCUGACAUUCAUCUAACCAUAUAAAUUCAACAUUCUUUUGUAGCAAUCGAGUUAACGGUAAGGUAAUCAUUGAGAAAUCUUUGACAAAUCGACGAUAAUAACCUGCCAAUCGUAGAAAACUCUGCACUUCAGUCACAUUCUUCGGAACUUUCCAAUUUAUCACUGCCGCUACCUUACUUGGAUCCACUCUUAUUCCAUCAGCUGAUACAAUAUGACCCAAAAAUGCAACUUCAUGGAGCCAAAAUUCACAUUUGCUGAAUUUGGCAUACAAUUGUUUCUCCCACAAAGUCUGUAAUACAAUCAUUAGAUGUUGUGCAUGUUCGGACUCUGUCUUUGAAUAAAUCAAUAUAUCGUCAAUGAACACAACCACAAAUCUAUCCAAAUAUGACUGAAAAAUUCUAUUCAUCAAAUCCAUAAAAGCAGCAGGGGCAUUGGUUAAACCAAAUGGCAUCACCAAAAAUUCAAAAUGACCAUAUCGAGUUCGAAAGGCAGUUUUCGGCACUUCACACUCUUUAACUUUCAACUGAUAAUACUCGGAUCGAAGAUCUAUCAUGGAAAAUACUGUAGCACCUUUCAACUGAUCAAACAAAUCAUCAAUAUGAGGCAAAGGAUUUUUAUUCUUUACUGUUACCUUAUUCAACUGUCUGUAAUCUAUACACAGUCUUAAAAAACCGUCCUUCAUUUUCACAAACAAGACAGGUGUACCCCAGGGCGACAUACUCGGUCUGAUGAACCCUUUAUCUAAUAACUCCUGCAGCUGCGCCUUCCGUUCUUUUAACUCGACUGGAGCCAUUCUGUAUGGUGUCAUUGAGAUAGGAGUUGUUCCGGGGAUCACAUCAAUUACAAAUUCAACUUCUCUAUCAGGUGGUAGACCGGGUAACUCUUCAGGGAACAUAUCAGGGAAUUCAUUCACCAUUGGCACUUGUUCGAGCUUCAAACCAGAACCCUGAGUAUCCAGGAUAUAGGCCAAGAAUGCUUCGUUGCCUUUGUGUAAUAACCUCUGAGCAGAGAGAGCUAAAAUAAUUCUGACUGUAUCACCCAGAUUUUCAGACCCAACUGAGAUUAUAUCUCCCGUUUGACAUUUCAAACUGAUUUGUUUAUCACGAUAAUUCACUACCGCAUCAUGUCUCAUUAACCAGUCCAUCCCCAGAAUAAUGUCAAAUUCCCGAAAAGGUAACAACAUCAAAUCAGCGAGGAAUUCAUAGCCUUUCACUUUCAGUGGACAAUUACGACAUAUCAAAUUAACCAUCACACUUUGACCUAAUGGGUUUGUGACUUGUAUAUCAAAUUCAGUGGACUCAACAGAUAAUUUCUUUUUAGAUGCUAACAUAGUGCAAAUAUAUGAAUGAGUAGAUCCAGGGUCUAUCAAUGCAUAAACAAUAACAUCAUAAAGAUAGAAAGUACCAGCAAUUACAUCAGGAGCCGUAGCCUCUUUCCUUGCUCGAAUGGCGUAGGUACGUGCUGGUGCUCUAUUCUCUGAUCGACCAACUGAUUCCCUCGUACCCGAACGGGUAGUCCCUGUAGCACUGCUCUGGCCCGAACGUCUACUUUUUUGGGGAAUGGUUCUCUGUAUUUCUUUCUGUUCCACUUCAUCUUUUUACAGUCGGGAACAAUCUCGAAUAAGAUGAUUAGUACCCUCACAUUUUUAACAAGCCCCUAUCUUGGUCCUGCAUUCUCUGAAAUGAUAUCUUCCACAAUAUUGACACUUAGGCCGGGGAGCAUUCUGAACACUGCUCACACUUGCUGGAGGUCUAUCGAAUACCCUGAAAUCAGAUUGUCUUGGUCUAUCUCUACCCGAUCUUCUCGACAGUGAUGUAGUUCGACUAAUUUCUUCUCUAGAUUUGUUCACUGGUAAAUCUAAAAAUGACUUAGAAGCACCUCUUUUGAAUGGCUCUUUACUUUUUCGAUCCCGCUACAUUUUUCUGUUGUAUACUUCUUCGAGCUUUUGAGCACGGUCUGACAGAACAGGGAACUCUCGUAUUUCAUUACCCCCAAUCAUCAUUCUAAUUUCAUCAUUUAACCCUUCUUCAAACCUGAUACACAUUUCUUCUUUAAUAAGUACAAUGUCUCGGGCAUAUUUGCUGAGGUAGACAAAUUCUCUUUCGUAUUCAGCCACUGAUUUAUCUCCCUGGCGUAGGUCGAGAAAUUCCCUUUUAUUUUUAUCCAAAUACCGUCUGCCCACAUAUUUCUUCUUAAAUUCAUUUUGGAAAAAUUCCCAAUAAAUUUUCUCUGUCGGAACCACAUCCUCAAUCGUCUCCCACCAACUAUAAGCUUCUUCUUUCAAUAGAGACACAACACAACUCAAAUAAUCAUCUAGUGAGCAAACCAUUUCUUUAAAAAUUCUUAUUAAACUCUGUAACCAAUAUUCAGCUUUGACGGGAUCUUUAUCAGUCCUUCCCCGAAAUUCUUCGGCUCCAAGUUUUUUAAGCCUUUCCAAUGGAGAACGCUUUCUGGAUUCAGUCGUUGUAAAAGGUGGAGGAGCAACCGGGUGUGCCACCGAUGGAGCAGUAGGGGGAGGAGGUGGUUCAGCCUGAUUUCUUUCUUGCCUCAUUUCAGUAUAUCAUUGAUUCAUAAUCCCAUAAAUCAUAUUCUUUAACUCUUGCUCUCGCAUUUGGGAGAUCGGAACAUCACUGCUUGUUCUUUGUUUAGAAUUAUGUAUUCUACUAUUAACUUCUUCUUUCUCAGUACGUUUAGGUAUAUCUGACAUCUCCAUAACCGGAGAAUAUCUACUAUUAACUUCUUCUUACUGGAUUCAGUCGUUGUAAGAGGUGGAGAAGCAACCGGGGGUACCACCGAUGGAGCAGUAGGCAGAGGAGGUGGUUCAGCCUGAUUUCUUUCUUGCCUCAUUUCAGUAUACCACUGAUUCAUAAUCCCAUAAAUCAUAUUCUUUAACUCUUGCUCCCGUAUUUGGGAGAUCAGAACACCACUGCUUGUUCUUUGUUCAGAAUUAUGUAUUCUACUAUUAACUUCUUCUUGCUCAGUACGUUCAGGUAUAUCUGACAUCUCUAUAACCGGAGAAUAUCUAUAAAAAUAACAAAGAUUAGAUCGCAUCAUACGCAUUACACUAUCACAGAUUUAUAUGGCAUGUAUUUCUAAACACUUUACACUUUACACAUAUUCCGAGAACCGGCUAAACCUGGAUCUGAUACCAAUAAAAUGUAACACCCUUUACCUGAGACCGUUUCCAGAGUCGAGCAUGAGGCGUUACUUGACUUAACUUAAAAGUUCAGGGCAUAAAAAAUUACUUUCAAAAUUAAUUUCACCAUUCACAAUAAAGCUGUCCACCCACGCAGCAAUCUCUAAAUUAAUUAUAACUCAAGAUGCGAAACUCGAAAUUUAGAUCUGUAUAUUUUACCUAAAACUAGACUCAUAUAUCUAUUCACUACAAAAUUUUCAGACUUUUUGGUUUGGCAAAUUAGUACAGUUUAUUAAUUGAAGUCUCCCCUGUUUCACUAAUAGACUAUCCUGACCUCUCGUCACUAAAAUUCAAUUAUCUCAUUAUACAAACUUGACUUGGUGCUUUCAAUUAUUUUUACUUAAAAUAGACUCAUUAAGGAAUUUAAACAUAUAAUUUAUAACUCAUAAUUCAUUUUGUACAAUUUUUAAUGAAUUUCUAAAGUCAAAAUAGGGGACUUCAAAAUCAUUCUGACUCUGUCUCACUAAAAUUCAAAUAUCUAAAAGUAUAUAACUCUUUUGCUUACUCUAUUGCUUUAAUGUGAAAGUAGGCUCAUUCAGCUUUAAUUUCAUCUCUCACUCAACUUAUAAUUCUAAGUCCACAUUUUUGGUGAUUUUUCAAAGUUACAUCAAUACUGCUGUCCAAAAACUGUUCCAUUGAAAUUUUUUUAAAAAAUUUCAAUAUAACCCUUUUAUAAUUAUCUAACCUUCCCUGCAAAUUUUAAAUCACAACCAAUUUCAGUAUUUCAACCACUUCACUUAAAUACUAAUGAAGUUCAACCAAUCAACCAUUUCAAACUAAAAACAUGCAUAGUUCAAUGUCUAACACAACCAUCACAUUCAAAUUUACUUUGCAUAUUUAGAUAUUCAUUCUUUUACUUUUUACUUCAAUUCCCUAUACAUGUCAUAUAAAUCCAAAAAGUUGUUUAACAAAAUCUACCGGAGUAAAUCUUGAUAGUGUGAUUCUUGGUGUAGAUCCGAUCCUCUGAAUGUAUAAAUACGUCAAUCUACAAGAAUCAAUAAACGCACAAGUAGGCUUAAUAAACACACAAGUAAGCUUAUAGAAAGCUUAGUAAGUUCAUAGGCACCAAACAUAAAACUUACCAAACAUUUAUACACUUAUACAUUAUACACCAUUACUAAGUUUACCUGUCAACCACAUUCUUUGGUGAGUUCCUUGGUAUAAACUCACUAAUACUUAUUCUUUUACCAUAAUUCCUUUGGGCCCAUUUGUCACUUACCAUCCUUGAUCAAAAUUAAGGAACGGUUACGGAAAAUUGAGUACUUCACUUUCACUUUGCCAUAGUAUAAAUAUGGUCUUACGUAUGAUCACUUAUCACUUGUCCUUGAUCAGGUUAGUGUAGCUAGGCUACCACUUAUCACUUGUUCCUGAUCAGAUAAGUGUAGCUAAGCUAUCACUUGUCACUUUGUCACUUGAUCAAAAGUACUCAAAUCCGGUGUUCCGCUCAAUUUGAUCACUUAUUCAGUUUGCGCAUUUUUAUUUUAUUCUCAUUUCAUCAAUAAAUAUAUAUAUAUAUUUCACCAUACAUUAUAUAAUUCAUGAAAUUAACAUUUAAUCAUUAAAUUUCAUCCAUAUGAACUUACCUAGGUCGAUUUUCUGAAUUUGUAAAAGUUCAAGGACUAAUCAGCUACUUUUUCUUUUCCUCGACUUGUUUCGGGUUCUCGAUAUGAUUCAAAUAUAUGAAAAACUAGCUUGGAGGGACUCUUCAAUGGCGUUUUUUGCUGAGAAAUAUGAUGAAUUGCCUAGAAACUCUUUUAGUUAAGAUUUUUAUUUGUUAACUUUUACAAAAUUUCUAAUUUUGCCCUUAUUACAUCACUUUUUCAGAUUUUUCUUCUCUUAUGCCGUCUCAACUAUUCCAUAUUAGCAUAUUUAUGCCUUAAGUCCCUCCUUAUUUACCACUUAAGCUGUUUAAUCACUUUUAACAAAUUUUACAUUAUUUUCAGUUUAGUCAUUUUUAAUUAAUUAACCACCAAAACGUUAGAAUUUUCUAACGAAACUUUAAUACCAACUCAAUGACACUCUAUAAAUGUUUCUAAAAAUAUUUAUGGCUCGAUUGAUGAGUUUGAGGUUUCGAUACCUCAUUUUCGACUCUAAUUAUUUUAAUAUUUAUUCUUAGUACACUAUUCACUAUUUCAAAAAUUUUCCUAACUUCGCAUUUAACUUAUACUCACUAAAUUAAUAAUAUUUUCUACUCAUUUGUCAAAUUUAAUGAUCUCGAAUUACCAUUCCGACACCACUGAAAAUUCAGGCCAUUACAACUCUCCCCCCAUUUUGGAAAUUUCGUCCCCGAAAUUUCGUACCUGAAAAUAAAUUCGAAUACUGAAAUCUCAUCAAUUCCUCUGUUUCCCAGGUUGCCUCCUCAGAUCCAUGUCGAUUCCAUAACACCUUAACUAGUGGUACAUGUUUAUUCCUCAACUCUUUAACAUCCCAAGCUAAAAUUUUCACCGGUUCCUCUGAAUAAGUCAUGUCAGGUUGAAGCUCUAUUUCCGUAUGAGGAAUUACAUGUGAUGGAUCUGAUUUGUACCGUCUCAACAUAGACACAUGAAACACAUUAUGAAUCUUUGCAAGUUCCGGGGGCAAAGCUAAUCUAUAGGUUACCAGACCGAUUCUUUCAAUGAUUUCAUACGGCCCGAUAAAUCGUGGGCUGAGUUUUCCCUUUUUGCUGAACCGCAAAACUUUCUUCCACGGUGACAGUUUCAAAAAUACACGAUCACCCACAUUAAACUCUCUAUCCCUUCUCUUCAAAUCUGCAUAUGAUUUUUGCUGAUCGGAGGCAGCUUUUAAGCAAUCUCGAAUAAUACGAACUUUUUCUUCAGUUUCCUGAGUCAAUUCCACUUCCACCAGUUUCAAUUCACUUAAUUUAGACCAAUAUAAUGAAGUUCUACACUUUCUUCCAUACAAAGCUUCAAACGGUGCCAUUUUAAUGCUAGUUUGAUAACUAUUAUUAUAAGCAAAUUCGGCUAAAGGUAAAUACCUUUCCCAGCUACCGCCGAACUCAAGUAUACAACACCUUAACAUAUCUUCUAAAAUCUGAAUCACUCGCUCUGACUGCCCAUCUGUCUGGGGAUGAAAAGCUGUGUUGAAAUUUAAUUUGGUGCCUAAAGCUUCCUGUAAUUUACUCUAAAAUCUCGAGGUAAAUCUCGGAUCUCGAUCUGAAAUAAUAGAUGUCGGUACCCCAUGUAACCUCACUAUCUCAGACACAUAUAACUCCGCUAACUUUUCAAGCUGAUAAUCUGCUCUGACUGGAAUAAAAUGUGCUGAUUUAGUUAACCGAUCAACAAUCACCCAUAUCGAAUCUUUCUUCUUCGAAGUUACUGGUAAUCCGGAUACAAAAUCCAUCGCAACAUGUUCCUAUUUCCACUCUGGAAUCAUAAUGGGCUGUAACAACCCUGUCGGCACUUGAUGCUCAGCUUUCACCUGUUGGCAGAUCAAACAUCUUGCUACAUACUCACAGAUUUCCCAUUUAAUUCCGGGCCACCAAUACAUUUUCUUCAAAUCACAAUACAUUUUUGUACUAACCCGGUGAAUAGAACACAUACUACUGUGAGCCUCUGAUAAAAUAUCAUUUUUCAAGUUUAAAUUAUUCGGAAUACAUAUUCUAUUACGAUAAUAUAACAUACCAUUUUCAUCAAUGGAGUAUUCUGAGCUUAACUUAUCUUGAACCAUCUGUCGUUUUAUCAUCAAUUUUGGGUCAUCAUCCUGUAACUCUUGAAUCCAUUGAAAGAACACGGGUUUAGCCUUUAAUUCUGCUAGUACAGAACCAUCCUCAUUAAUAGAUAAAUGAGCAUUCAAUGCCCGUAGUGCAAAUAAUGAUGAUUUCUGACUAAGUGCAUCUGCUGCGGCAUUUGCUUUCCCUGGGUGAUAGUCAAUGACAAGAUAAUAAUCUUUCUGCAACUCUAACCAUCGUCUCUAUCUCAAAUUUAACUCUUUCUGAGUCAUUAAAUACUUUAAGCUUUUAUGAUCAGUAUACACGUAACAUUUCUCACCAUAUAAGUAGUGUCUCCUUAUCUUCAAAGCAAACACGAUCGCUGCCAAUUCAAAAUCAUGUGUAGGAUAAUUCUUGUCGUGCGGUUUCAGUUGCCGAGAAGCAUAUGCCACCACUUUGCCUGACUGAAUAAGUACACAGCCCAACCCAUUUACAGAUGCAUCACUAUAUACUACAAAUGGUACACCCGAUUCUGGUUGAGUCAACAUUGGAGCCUCUGUCAACAUCUUUUUCAACUGAUCAAAACUCCGCUGACAUUUAUCUGACCAUAUAAAUUCAACAUUCUUUUGUAGAAAUCGAGUCAACUGUAAGGUAAUCAUUGAGAAAUCUUUGAUAAAUCGACAAUAAUAACAUGCCAAUCGUAGAAAACUCCACACUUCAAUAACAUUCUUCGGAACUUUCCAAUUUACCAUUGCCGCUACCUUACUUGGAUCGACUCUUAUUCCAUCAGCUGAUACAAUAUGACCCAAAAAUGCAACUUCAUGGAGCCAAAAUUCUCAUUUGCUAAAUUUGGCAUACAAUUGUUUCUCUCACAAAGUCUGUAAUACAAUCCUUAGAUGUUGUGCAUGUUCGGACUCUGUCUUUGAAUAAAUCAAUAUAUCGUCAAUGAACAACCACAAAUCUAUCCAAUUAUGACUGAAAAAUUCUAUUCAUCAAAUCCAUAAAAGCAGCAAGGGCAUUGGUUAAACCAAAUGGCAUCACCAAAAAUUCAUAAUGACCAUAUCGAGUUUGGAAGGCAGUUUUCGGCACAUCACACUCUUUAACUUUCAACUGAUAAUACCCAGAUUGAAGAUCUAUCUUGGAAAAUAUUGCAGCACCUUUCAACUGAUCAAAUAAAUCAUCAAUAUGAGGCAAAGGAUAUUUAUUCUUUACUGUUACCUUAUUCAACUGCCUGUAAUCUAUACACAGUCUUAGAGAACCGUCCUUUUUUUUCACAAACAAGACAGGUGCACCCCAGGGCGACAUACUCAGUCUGAUGAACCAUUUCUCUAAUAACUCCUGUAACUGCGCCUUCAACUCUUUUAACUCGGCUGGAGCCAUUCUGUACGGUGUCAUUGAGAUAGGAGUUGUUCCGGCGAUCACAUCAAUUACAAAUUCAACUUCUUUAUCAGGUGGUAGACCGGGUAACUCUUCAGGGAACACAUUAGGGAAUUCAUUCACUACUGGCACUUGUUUGAGCUUCAAACCAGAACCCUGAGUAUCCAUGAUAUAGGCCAAGAAUGCUUCGUUGCCUUUGCGUAAUAACCUCUGAGCAGGGAGAGCUGAAAUAAUUCUGACUGUAUCACCCAUAUUUUCAGACCCAACUGAGAUUAUAUCUCCCGUUUGACAUUUCAAAUUGAUCUGUUUAUCACGACAAUUCACUACCGCAUCAUGUCUCACUAACCAGACCAUCCCAAGAAUAAUGUCAAAUUCUCGAAAAGGUAACAACAUCAAAUCAGCGGGGAAUUCAUAGCCUUUCACUUUUAAUGGACAAUUACGACAUAUCAAAUUAACCAUCACACUUUGACCUAAUGGGUUUGUGACUUGUAUAUCAAAUUCAAUGGACUUAACAAAUAAUUUCUUUUCAGAUGCUAACAUAGUGCAAAUAUAUGAAUGAGUAGAUCUAGGGUCUAUCAAUGCAUAAACAAUAACAUCAUAAAGAUAGAAAGUACCAACAAUUACAUCAGGAGCCGUAGCCUCUUCCCUUGCUCGAAUGGCGUAGGUACGUGCUGGUGCUCUAUUCUUUGAUCGACCAACUGAUUCCCUCGUACCCGAACGGGUAGUCCCUGUAGCACUGCUCUGGCCCGAAUGUCUACUUCUUUGGGGAAUGGUUCUCUGUAUCUCUUUCUGUUCCACUUCAUCUUUUUACAGUCGGGGACAAUCUCGAAUAAGAUGAUUAGUAGCCCUACAUUUUUAACAAGCCCCCAUCUUGGUCCUGCAUUCUCCGAAAUGAUAUCUUCCACAAUAUUGACACUUAGGCCGGGGAGCAUUCUGAACACCGCUCACACUUGCUGCAGGUCUAUCGAAUACCCUGAAAUCAGAUUGUCUUGGUCUAUCUCUACCCGAUCUUCCCAACAUUAAUGUAGUUCGACUAAUUUCUUCUCUAGAUUUCUUCACUGGCAAAUCUAAAAAUGACUUAGAAGCACCUCUUUUGAAUGGCUCUUUACUUUUUCGAUCCCGCUGCAUUUUUCUGUUGUAUACUUCUUCGAGCUUUUGAGCACGGUCUGACAGAACAACGAACUCUCGUAUUUCAUUACCCCCAAUCAUCAUUCUAAUUUCAUCAUUUAACCCUUCUUCAAACCUGAUACACAUUUCUUCUUUAGUAGGUACAAUGUCUCGGGCAUAUUUGCUGAGGUAAACAAAUUCUCUUUCGUAUUCAGCCACUGAUUUAUUUCCCUGGCGUAGGUCGAGAAAUUCCCUUUUAUUUUUAUCCAAAUACCGUCUGCCCACAUAUUUCUUCUUAAAUUCAUUUUGGAAAAAUUCCCAAUAAAUUUUCUCUGCUGGAACCACAGCCUCAAUCGUCUCCCACCAACUAUAAGCUUCUUCUUUCAAUAGGGACACAGCACAUCUCAAAUAAUCAUCUGGUGAGCAAACCAUUUCUUUAAAAAUUCUUAUCAAACUUUGUAACCAAUAUUCAGCUUUGACGGGAUCUUCAUUAGUCCUUCCUGAAAUUCUUCGGCUCCAAGUUUUUUAAGCUUUUCCAAUAGAGAACGCUUACUAGAUUCAGUCGUUGUAGGAGGUGGAGGAGUAACCGGGGGUACCAUCGAUGGAGCAGUAGGGGGAGGAGGUGGUUCAGCAUGAUUUCUUUCUUGCCUCAUUUCAAUAUACCACUGAUUCAUAAUCUCAUAAAUCAUAUUCUUUAAUUCUUGCUCUCGCAUUUGGGAGAUCGGAACAUCACUGCUUGUUCUUUGUUCAGAAUUAUGUAUUCUACUAUUAACUUAUUCUUACUUAGUUCGUUCAGGUAUAUCUGACAUCUUUAUAACUGGAGAAUAUCUAUAAAAAUAACAAAGAUUAGAUCGGAUCAUACGCAUCACACUAUCACAGAUUUAUAUGGCAUGUAUUUCUAAACACUUUACACUUCACACAUAUUCCGAGAACCGGCUAAACCGGGAUCUGAUACCAAUAAAAUAUAACACCCUUUACCCAAGACCGUUGCCCGAGUCGAGCAUGAGGCGUUACUUGACUUAACUUAAAAGUUCAGGGCAUAAAAAUUUACUUUCAAAAUUAAUUUCACCAUUCACAAUAAAGCUGUCCACCUGCGCAGGAGUCACUAAAUCAAUUAUAACUCAAGCUACGAAACUCAAAAUUUAGAUCCGUAAAUUUUCCCUAAAACUAGACUCAUAUAAAUAUUCACCAUAAAUUUUUAAGAAUUUUUAGUUUAUCCAAUUAGUAUAGUUUAUUAGUUUAAGUCUCCCUUGUUUCACUAAUAGACUACCCUGACCUCUCGUCACUAAAAUUCAAUUAUCUCCUUAUACAGACUUGACAUGGUGCUUCCAAUUAUUUUUACUUAAAAUAUACUCAUUAAGGAAUUUAAAAAUAUAAUUUAUAACUCAUAAUUACUUUUUUACAAUUUUUAUUGAAUUUCUAAAUUCAGAACAGGGGACUUCAAAAUCAUUCUGACCCUGUCUCACUAAAAUUCAAAUAUCUAAAAGUAUAUAACUCUUUUGCUUACUCUAUUGCUUUCAUGUGAAAGUAUACUCAUUCAGAUUUAAUUUCAUAUCUCACUUAACUUAUAAUUCUAUUUCCACUAUUUUUGGUGAUUUUUCACAGUUACAUCAAUGCUGCUGUCCAAAAACUGUUCCAUUGAAAUUUUUAAAAAAAAUUCAAUAUAACCCCUUUAUAAUUAUCUAACCUUCCCUGCAAAUUUCAAAUCACAACCAAUUUCAGUAUUUCACCUACUUCACUUAAAUACUAAUGAAGUUCAACCAAUCAACCAUUUCAAACUAAAAACAUGUAUAGUUCAAUGUCUAACACAACCAUCAUAUUCAAAUUUACUUUGCAUACUUAGUCAUUCAUUCUAUUACUUUUUACUUCAAUUCCCUAUACAUGCCAUAUAAAUCCAAAAAGUUGUUUAACAAAAUCUACCAGAGUAAAUCUAGAUAGUGUGAUUCUUGGUGUAGAUCCGAUCCUCCGAAUGUAUAAAUACGUCAAUCUACAAGAAUCAAUAAACACAUAAUUAAGCUUAUAGAAAGCUUAGUAAGUUCAUAGGCACCAAACAUAAAUCUUACCAAACAUUUAUACACUUAUACAUUAUACACCAUUACUAAGUUUACCUGUCAACCACAAUCUUUGGUGAGUUCCUUGUUAUAAACUCACUACUACUUAUUCUUUUACCAUAAUUCCUUUGGGCCCAUUUGUCACUUACCAUCCUUGAUCAAAAUUAAGGAACGGUUACGGAAAAUUGAGUACUUCACUUUCACUUUGCCAUAGUAUAACUAUGGUCUUACAUAUGAUCACUUAUCACUUGUCCUUGAUAAGAUAAGUGUAGCUAGGCUACCACUUAUCACUUUGUCACUUGAUCAGAUAAUUGUAGCUAAAGCUACCACUUAUCACUUUAUCACCACUUAUCACUUGUUCCUGAUCAGAUAAGUGUAGCUAAAACUACCACUUAUCACUUUGUCACCACUUAUCACUUGUUCCUGAUCAGAUAAGUGUAGCUAAAGCUACCACUUAUCACUUUGUCACUUGAUCAGAUAAGUGUAGCUAAGCUAUCACUUAUCACUUUGUCACUUGAUCAGAAGUACUCAAAUUCGGUGUUCCGCUCAAUUUGAUCAUUUAUUCAGUUUUCACAUUUUUAUUUUAUUCUCAUUUCAUCAAUAAAUAUAUAUAUUUCAGCAUACAUUAUAUAAUUCAUGAAAUUAACAUUUAAUCAUUAAAUUUCAGCCAUAUGAACUUACCUGGGUCGAUUUAUUGAAUUUGUAAAAGUUCAGGGACUAAUCAGCUACUUUUUCUUUUCCUCGACUUGUUUCGGGUUCUCAAUAUGAUUCAAAUAUAUGAAAAACCAGCUUGGAUGGACUCUUCAAUGGCGUUUUUUGCUGAGAAAUAUGAUGAAUUGCCUAGAAACUCUUUUAGUUAAGAUUUUUAUUUGUUAACUUUUACAAAAUUUCCAAUUUUGCCCUUAUUACAUCACUUUUUCAGAUUUUUCUUCUCUUAUGCCGUCUCAACUAUUCCAUAUUAGCAUAUUUAUGCCUUAAGUCCCUCCUUAUUUGCCACUUAAGCUGUUUAAUCACUUUUAACAAAUUUUACAUUAUUUUCAGUUUAGUCCUUUUUAAUUAAUUAACCACCCAAACGUUAGAAUUUUCUAACGAAACUUUAAUAUCAAUUCAAUGACACUCUAUAAAUGUUUCUAAAAAUAUUUAUGGCUCGAUUGAUGAGUUUGAGGUUUCGAUACCUCAUUUUUUAUUCUAAUUAUUUUAAUAUUUAUUCUUAGUAUACUAUUCACUAUUUUAAAAAUUUUCCUAACUUCGCAUUUAACUUAUACUCACUAAAUUAAUAAUAUUUUCUACUCAUUUGUCAGAUUUAGUGAUCUAGAAUUACCAUUCCGACACCACCGAAAAUUCAGGCCAUUACAUUAUGUUUAUUGACUCAUUUUUUCUGUUGACUGAAUUUCAGGUAACUCAUCGACUUAGGCGGGUCGGCAUGGCGAGAGCUCGGUCAUCCUUAUUUAGUAAUUUUCUGUUUAAAUUAAACUUAUGCUAUAGUUGUUUUAUCUUGAAUUACAGAUUGCAAAUUUAUAUUUCUACACUAGUUCAACUAUUUAAACAUUUUCUGACAAUUAAACUUUAAUUAGUUAAAAGUGAGAAUUUCUUAAAUGAUUUGUUGUAGCUUUCCAAGCUUGGUCCUAACAUCUAGGUCGGGUUUGGGGUGUUACAACCCAAAACCCCCAAACUUUCCCCUCAAAACUUUUACUCCCCCACCCUUUCUCUUUCUCGCUCACCCUCCCAAACCCUUUUACUUUUCCCCCAAAACUUUUACUUCCCACUUUUACCCCCAAAUCAAAAAUCAAAAUCCUCCCAAAAAAAUCCUUAAACCUAAAUAGUAAUAAUUUUAUUUAUGGCCACUAUUUAUAUUAUAAAUUAAAUUUCACAUUUUCUAUUAUUUAUAUUAUUAAAUUGUUUAAUCAUUUUGAAUCUUUAUCAAUUUCUGUUAAAACUGUAUCAUUGAUGAUGUCAUACAUUAUUUGUGUUAAAAAUUUCUAUUGGUAUCAAUUUCACAUUUUAUCUUUAAAAUAAAUUUUAUUAAAAAAAUUACUUUUUUACAUUUAAUAUAUUUUUUAAUUUCAAAAUAUAUGGUGACAAGAAUUAGAAGAUAAUUGAAGCAACUAAGCAAGUAAAAAAGCUAACAUGUAUAUAAAAGAUUAAAUAAAUUAUGAAGGGAUGAAAGUUAAUAACACAUUUGAUUACGGUGGACAAAUUUGAUAAUGAUGGGUGACAGUGGCUACAAGGAUCCAAAGUAAUUUUUUCAAUUAACUGGAAACAAAUAUAUUCGAUUCGAUUCGAUAAAAUUUGAAAUCAUUUUAGGAUGAUAAAAUAAGAUUCGUCAACUCGAUUAACUCGAAGUUUUUUCAUUUGAUUCGAUUAGACGCUCACCCCUACAAAGUAUGACCGAUUGGUCUGAUUCUGAAAAAAAUUGGUUUUGAUCAAUGAAAGAACUUUUACGAUGGCGACAGGUCUAACAAACAGGUGAUAUUUUGAAAAGAAAAUUAAUCUCCAUAGUCUCAACCUUAGGAGGGUGAAUUUUGAGCAUUGCAUUUGUUGUCAUUGUUAGACAUUAUAAAGGAAGAAAAAAGAAAGAAAAAAGUUAAAAUGAGGGAAAUUAUUGAAAAAAAGAGAGAAGAGAAUAAUUAAUUUUUUUUAAAAUUUUACAUGUCAAUCUAUUAUUGAUUAGAUUUUUUUAAUGAGUGUAACAUUUUGGUGUUAAAUGGAUAAUAAAAAAAUAUUUUAAGUAUCAUUUAUGAUAAAAAUAUUUAGGUAUCAAUUUGAAAAAAAUAUGUAGCUUAGAUACUAAUUGAUGGGUUAAUUUUUUUAGCUUAAUAAUUUGAUUAAACCGAAAUACCAACUGAAAAAAAGUUUACUCGCCGCUUAUGAAAAAAAAUAAGUAUGAAUUUGUAAGUUAAAUCUCCCUAAAAGAAAAAAUAUAUCACAUUCAAUACGGGGUGAAUGAAGCAAUGAAUGCAAUGGGGUAUUACAACCAGCCACAUGUCAUUCAAUUCAUGUUAUAUCUACCUUGUUGGCCCCACAGGCGGUCUUUUCCAUUAUUUUCGAAGUGAACGACAUGAGUCGGACCUAUAUCGGCCCCAACAAACAACCUCAACCACUUGUUUUGUUAGGUUGUUGACUAAUUUGAAUAUGUCGGCUCAAAGCUUUUUGAAAAUUAAAUUAUUUUUUAUAUUAAUAUCAUAUAGGUAUAAAAAUUUAACGUUUUGUAAAAAAAAUAAAUUUAGUGUUAAAUUUAAAUAAUUAUAAAAAAUUAUACAAAAUACAAAGACAACUUAGAGUCAAUAAAAAAAAUAUGGAAAAUCAAUUCAUACAUGAAAUGGCAUAAAAAUAUUAUGAACACUAUACAAAUAUAUGAAUGUUUUUAUAUCUAUAUAAAAUAAGUUAUUAACGCUUAAAUUUCAACCAAUUAAAUAUUAAUUUAACUAUAAACUAUAAAAAAUUAAAAUUUCAUUUACCCUAAACAAUUAUUCUAAUUUCGCCCCUGUAUAAAAUAGUUGUAAUAUUAAAAAAAAAGUUAUACGAAUAUGGAGUGUUAAAAAAAAAGGCUUUCAACUUUUAAUAUUCCAAACAAAUAAAAGAAAUAAUAAUAACAGUUUACAAGUGCAAUAAAAGUAAUACAUAUUUGAUGAAUUAAAAAUAGAAUAAAUAUAACUAACUAUAACAGAAAUAUAUUUAGAUUUAAACCAAAUUUUUUUGAAGAUGAAAUUUGAACUCACAAAUAAUAUUUAUAAAUGAUGAUAUGUUUUAGAACAUGUAUAUUUUAAUUUCAUUUGAUAUUUAAAUUAAAUGAAUGAAAUGAGUAUAUUAGCAUAAAUAUAUUGAAUUUCUAGAUUUAUUAAAAAUCCAACUAAAUAGAGUAGAUCCAUAAAUUUAAAAAAUGAUUAUGGAUUUUGAAAUAUAAAUCUAAAAUUUAAAAUCUGAAACCCUCCUAAAUGUUUUCCAAAGUAAGGCGGGGAUAAAUGGUAUAGGGAAGACGGUGGGUAGAUAGAUGUACGGUUUAUUUAUAACUUCGUUUUUAUUAGUCGGCUUACAGUUUCAUAAAAAGCAUCCGUGCAAGGCAUGUUCAAAUGCUGCACUAGCAUACCACUACUAUAAAAAAAACACAUACAAGAGCACCACAAAUUUAUCCCAAAAUACAUUAAAUAAAUGACUCCUAAGGGUGCCAGAUUUAACUAGUGUGUCUGGGAUUGUAUUAGCCUCUCUGAGGCCAUGUGAAAAAAUUUAAUGUUAUUGUUAUAUUUCCAUCUCGAUACGUUGCAAGACAUGAAGCAAUCUGUAAACAACUCUCUUUUGGAAGCAGUUUGCAUACGACUCUUCGCUAAGAACCAUUUGUUGUGAUCUUUCGCUUAGGAUUGCUCACAAAUGACCCCCAUGCACCCUAUCUCUCUCCCUCCUUAACUCAUCAUCUUGAACUCUCAUCCUAUUAUAGGUGAAUCGAGACUCUUCUCCUCCACCCUUUCCUCGUUGGUUACUUGUAGCAAAAAAAAUUAAUUUCACCGAAAAUGUUGGAGAGAUCCCAUGGUCUAAGUGUGUUGUUAGAGCAAAGCUCGAUGGCAAAUUUGGAGUCAAAUUUUAGAAUCAACCCUUUAAAAUCCAUUACACCGUAAAGGAAAAUUUUUACAAUUACAUUAACAAUAAAUAUUCAAAAUUUACUCAUCUAUCUAUACUUAUAUUAAGCCUUAUUUGAGUUGGAGUCAAGAGUCAACUAGGUACUAACUCAGUUGAGAAUUUACUAAAUAAUUUUAAUAUAAAGUAAAAAAAAUAUUAAUACGAGGGUGUUUUUAUCUUUUCAUAUUUUUAAAUAAAAAUACUAUAAUAAGAUUUAAACUUAAGUUUAAAAUUUCAAUCAAAACAUCACUUAAAUUUAAAAUAACAUUUUUAUAUAAAAUGUGUUUAGAUUCUAAGAUAAUGAAAUUUAUGAUGAGGUAUUCAAAAUGUGUUUGAAUAUGCUAAUGAGAUAUUCAAAUUGGUAUGCACAUUCCUAAUCAGGGAGCAUUAAUGAUAAUUUAGUAAAAUAAAUUAUCUCAUUAGCAUAUAGUUUAUUAUAAAAUUAUUGUGUAAAAUAAACAAUUCACAAACUUAAGAAUUUAUAACACAAAAAUUAUACAUCAAUGUUGUUAGAAUUGUAUUAUAUCCAUCGGUUGAAUUUAAAUUUAAAAAUUUAAUCAGCGAUAAUAAUUAAAAUCGUUUCAAACUAGUAAAAUAUUGAAAAUUAAGAACUAAUAAAAUAGAUUCUAAUUAUUUUUAUUUAAAAAAUGUUACCUUCUUAUUCAGGUUACAUUAAGACAAACCCAUCUUAAUUAUAAGUAUCAUAUUGUGAAUGGUAAACUUCUUACACAACAUCCACCAUUUGUCCAAAUAUGUUAAAUUAGGUGCAACAUAGAAAUUUUAUUGUAAGGAGUGAAUCUCAUUGUUUUUAUUUUCAUCAAACAUACGUCUAACUUUAUUAUUACGGGAUUAGAACUUAAAUUUGAUAAAUUGUGUGGUUUUAGGUGAUUUCUUUUCGUUAAAUUUAUCUAAAUCAACCUAACACUCGAAAAGUGAGAAUUCUCCUAAAAAUUCUUUAUGUUAGCAAAAAAUAUAGUGGAAGUAACUUGAAACGAAAGAGCAAUGAGAGAAUUGAAAAGACACAAGAAAAUAAUGCAUACAAGGUGUUUGAGUAAAUGCUCUCAAUAAAUUCUUUAACUCAAGAAGGAAUGAAGUACAACCAGUAUCUAGCCCCCCUAAAAUAGAAAAUUUUCCAUUUAUAUACCUUUAUAAUUUAUAAAAUUUAAAAUUUUACUUUCCCAUAAAAUGAUAAAAAAUUGAUUUAUUUCUUUAAAAAUUAUAAAGAUGACUAUUAAAAUAGUAAAAUUGUAUUUUUAUUAUUGUAAAAAUAUACAAUUUAAUUCUGUCUCCCAAAUUUUUUUUUUUUGGUUUCAUCCCUAAGUACAAUGAUCGUUGUAGCAGGAUACAUAGGCAUUCUAGCACAGAAUGCAAAUAUGUUGCCAAUUAACUUCGAGUCAUGGCAUAAAGUGCCCGAGAGUAACAAGAACCAAGCUCUCGAUAACAUUAAGGUAACAAAAUGUGUAUAUCAUUUAUAAUACUUGAGUUUAAGUUUCGUUUACAUUUACUUUCUGAAGUUGUGUUUUUUGUAGGGGAGAUUUGCUCUAGAGGUCUCCGAUGCUUAUGUAAAGAAGGCAUUGGGAAAAAGAUGGAGAGACCAUAAGAGCACUUUAAAGAAAGACUAUUUUAAGACAAAAACAACACUCGACGAGAGAUUACAAAAUGUCACGCCGGGAAUGCUGAGGUACCAGUGGGAAGAAGUCGUUAGAUUUUGGACUUCGAAGAAAGGAGAGGUAUGUGUUACUACAAAAAUCUUGUAAUUAUUUUGGUUUAUAGUAUUUACUAAUUAACGUACUAAUAAUUUCAUAACGUAGGAUCGUGAACGAGUUGGAACAAGUAGUAGGCAGAAACAAAAAUUCACGCACACAGCUGGGUCGAGAAGUUUUGCGUGUGUAGCUCAGGCCGAGGUAUUUUGAAUUUUUUAAUACUGGCAGAUAUUUAUUACUUUCUAUCAAAUAAUAUUUUUACUAUUGUAUUGUAGGAAGUGUUGUCGGGUCAAAAAGUUGGACGCCUUCAACUUUUUGACAUUACACAUAGGAAGAAAGAUGGAAACCCUAUGACUCCUGAAGCUGCAGAAAUUAUGGUACGUUUGCUUAAUACAAUUUGACUUGUUUUAAUUAUUUAUGCUGUUUAUUUUCUAAUGUUUUUUAUUACAUUUCUUGUAAUGCAAAUAUUGUUAAGUUAUGUUGCAUUUGUUUUGUUAAUAUAUGUUGCGUUCUUAACUAUGUGAUUUAUUUUUUAGGAAAAACUGAAGGAUAAAAAGGCGGAGUACGAAGCGAUUGCUUCCAGUGAUAGUUCUGUUCAUAUUGACGACAUUGAUAACCGGAUUAUCACUGAAGUUUUGGGUCCUGAAAGGUAUGGUCGGGUUCGAUUUCAAGGAUCUUUUGUUAACCCAUCCCAAUAUUUUGGAUCCAGCUCGCAACAAUACAUGCAUUCGGGGAGUCAGGCUCAAGCUGAAGUUCAGAGGUUAAGAGACCAGAUAGCUCAGAUGCAAGCGGCAACGAGUGAGCAAAUUACACAACUUAAAGCGGAGGCAACAUCGAGAGAAGCUGAGGUUCAAAAAAGAUAUGAAGAACUCCAGCUACAACUUAAAGCAGAUGCGGCAGCGAGAGAAGCAGAGGUAGCAGCGAGAGAAGCUGAGGUUCAACGAAAGUAUGAGCAACUGCAGCAGCAGCUUAAAGAAGAUGCGGCAACGAGAGAAGCAGCGGCUGCAGCGAGGGAAGUAGAGGCUGCAGUGAGGGAAUCAGAACAGCAUAAAAAGUUCGAUGAACUCCAGCAGCAGCUUCAGAAUAUGAUGAAGAUGUUUCAGCAGUCGCAACCGCCGUCAUCUUAGACUAUCGUUUAAAUAUACUUCAAUUUUGACUUUGGUAUUAUUAUUUUAACUUUUACAAUUUCUGUCAGAAUAAUACGAAUUUUAUUUUAUUUAUUGACAUUUAUUUUAAAUAUUAUAUAGAUUUGGUUAGAUUUGGUUGGUUGGAUUUGGUUUCUUCUGAUUUGUUUUUAUAGGAGGGGGCUGAAAUUUUUUUUUUCAAAUCUGCAAAAAUUAGCGGCGUUUUUUUGGAUAAGCGCCGCUAAAGACCAUCGUCUAUAGUGGAAUUUUUUGGCUAAGCGCCGCUAAAGACCAUGGUCUAUAGUGGCAUUUUUCGGCUAAGCACCGCUAAAGACCAUGGUCUAUAGUGGCGUUUUUUGUCUAAGCGCCGCUAAAGACCAUGGUGUAUAGUGGCAUUUUAUGGCUAAGCGCCGCUAAAGACCAUGGUGUAUAGUGGCGUUUUUUGGCUAAGCGCCGCUAAAGACCAUGGUCUAUAGUGGCGUUUUUUGUCUAAGCCCCGCUGAAAACCAUGGUCUAUAGUGGCGUUUUUUGGCUAAGCGUCGCUAAAGACCAUGGUCUAUAGUGGCGUUUUGUGGCUAAGCGCCGCUAAAGACCAUGAUCUAUAGUGGCAUUUUUCGGCUAAGCGCCGCUAAAGACCAUGGUCUAUAGUGGUGUUUUUUAGGCUAAGCGCCGCUAAAGACCAUGGUCUAUAGCGGCGUUGCAAAGAAAACGCCGCUAAAGACCAUGGUCUAUAGUGGCGUUUUUUAGGCUAAGCGCCGCUAAAGACCAUGGUCUAUAGCGGCGUUGCAAAGAAAAUGCUGCGAAAGGUCUUGAUCUUUAGCGGUGUUUAUUAUAAAAAGCGCCGCUAAAGUUACCGACGCUGUCAUUAGCGGCGAUCCUUGCGGCGCUUCGUAAAGCGCCGCUAAAAGUAUUUGCGGCGCUAAAAAAUGCCGCUAUAGACCUAAAAAAGCGCCGCUAAAACCCUGUUUUGGUGUAGUGUGAGAUGAUUACAAAUGAAGGGGGAGAUCUCUAUUUAUAGUUGAGCUCCCCUAGAUCCAAUAGUAUAGAUUGAAUUACAUCAACGAUUGAGAUUAGUACUUAUCUACAAGAUGAGUCUUAAGGAUUUUAAACUCUAUACAUCUUUAUCCCUUAGGAUUUACAUUAAUUACUCUGGUAACUCUAGUUUUACUGGAGAGUUUCACUGAACCACCAAAGGUUUAAGUAGAUGAGCUUCUCCAUAUGUUCCACGAGUUGGACAAGUUCAAGCGGAUCAAAUGAGCCCAAUUUAAUUAGUUAAUCUCAAUAAAACGUUCUAUGCACAAUGAUCAUGAACUUUGAUCCACAUCUCAAAAUGAUCAGAUGAAUAAUCUCUCUUAAUUAUAUUUUUAUAAAACUUGAUAUUUUCAUUUAAAAAGAAACACAAUCACAUAUAAUAAUGUCUCCAAAAGAGUCGUCCACUUCAAAGAUUUAAAGUAAUGUAAGAAUGAACCCAACAUUUUUCAAUUAAAAAUAUGUCGAUAGAUAUAGCAAGUUGUAUAACCUUUCAAUUACAAAACAGAUUUCAAUGGGGAUUGCAUCCGGUACAUGCAACUAAAGAACAGAACCGGUGCAUAAAUUGAUUUAAUUAAACUUUGGGUUGAGUAAUCAUGAUUUUCAUUAUUAUUAGACUACGUGAAUGUUGAUAUAAAAUGCUUGAGAGAAGGGUAUAGAAGAAACACAAAAUAAUGAGUGAUAUUAAUUUGUAGAUAAAGAUAAUAUUACAUAGUCGCAAAAAGCGACCUAGUACACAACGCACAACUCUAAAUUAGGAUAACUCCUCUGCUAUCCCUAUGGAUGGAUUUUAACAUCCAUAUUUAUUCUGUAGCUAUCGUUAUUUUGGCUUCCACUAGCUGGUGAACUUUCCAUGCCAAAACUUCACUUAACCCUGCAAAUGAAACAACAAAAAACACAACAUUAAAUGUUGAGCAAUUAAUAAGCAUAAGCAAUGAAACAACUCAUACGAACCUGCUGCAGUCAGUGCUAGGGCUGAUCUUGUAAGGGAUGUUGACACCGCACUUGCCUGGGAGUCCGCUUGCAAUACCAUAGUUGAUGCCAGGAAUGCCGGCGGCCGCACUUUUGAUGCAUUUGCAAGCUGCUUGCCGGUCUGGUGUUGUUUGGGCGGCGGAGUUGAGAGAUUUGAUGCCGCUGCAGCAACCUUGGGGAACGGCACCAGCACCAUUCCCUCUCAAGUAAUUAAU